UAGUACUUGCUAAUUCCUGGCAUCCUGUGUUUUUCCUUCCCAGAAUGCCCCUGAGGAUAAAGAGGAAGUAUGUGAAAAUUUCCUGCAAUCCAGGAAUCAUGGUAAUGUCUUUGAAGACUGCCAAAUGUCCUAUUAAUUGACAUACAAUUACACAGAGUUUCAGGGAUAUUUUACUUUGAUUUCUUCCCAUAAUAGGUAAAAUUGACCUCUGGAAUCAAGAACACCGAGCCUUGCUGGACAACAGGCCUUCUGAGAGUGAAAGAAAAUAUGUGGUUUUCAUCACCCGUUUAGUACAUACCAGGAGGAAGGGCUUGGGUGAUGCUACCCCUUCAUCACCUGACCCCAAAAGUGUUUCUGAGCCUCUUCCACUGAGCUGUGUUGGCAAGUUUACUGUGGCUGAAGAUCAAAGAGCUGAACAGAAAAUCAAUAAACAUAAAA
rnacentral:lncRNA from 1 species